AUUUUUACUUGAAUGUUCUUUUGUUUCAUAUUUCAACCUUGACAUGGUUUCUCGUAGUGAAUUCUAUGAAUGAUUUCUGGCUUAUCUUCCAGUCACUGUACAUCCAAAAGUGUUCGAGAUUUCAAAACACAUGCCUGGAGUGCUCCUUCGUACAUUUCUUCCUUGUUGCAAUAUUUGGGUGGAUGUCUUUCAAAAUGUCUGCCCUUCUGUAAAUGAUAUUGCACUAUACUUUUUCCCUGGAAAAUUUGAGAGGUCUAAUGAGCAGUAUUUUAACCUGUUGGAGCUUGUAGAGAUGCAAGAUCUUGUACUAUUGUAGGAGUUUUGUGAAUGAUGUGGAACUAUUAAUUUUUUCUUCUAAAAGACUUCAUCUGGAUUCUUGUGGAUUGGAAGUGAGAUCUUUUCUAUGGGGCAUCUUCCGCCCGUUGGAAGGCAAUCUAGCAAUUCCCGCCCUUCCUUUGCAUGACGAGAUUUUCCCAGCAUGUGGACAAAGUUCUGAUGUUGAGAUGAAGCUGAUUAAAAUGAAGUUUCCCGUGGUUAAAAUGGAACCAUUUGAUGGCCCUGAUGUUCUCUCUGGGUUUUAUAAGCAUGCUGCUGGUGAUACUGCUCGUGACAUAACGUUGAGUAACUCAUCAAAUUCAGUUGAUGCGUCAAUUAAAGGUCACCAGACAUCUAUUUUAUUUUAUUUUUUGAGUGCUAAAAAAUUCCUAUUAUUGCUGGAUCUGGGUUUCCAUCUCUGGAACCAGUGGUGUUUCUACCACAUUAGAUGCUCACUAAUAAUGAAAUACUGAAUGUUGUAAUAAAGAAACAGAAAAAAUAAAACUCAGAUCAAUAUAACAUGCAAGUAGUCUUGGGUAGAACAGAAUUCUUUCAGCUGCAUGCAUAUGACAUCUUAUAUCAGGUUCUGGAUAUACCAUUGAAUGUGGCUUAAGAGGAUUCAUGAUUUUGGCUGUAUGGAGGAAGAUAUAUUUUUAUGGGUUUGUGACACAGUUCUGGCCCUCAACAGUCAACAGUAGCUCUAGUUAUUCACUAGUAGAUACCAUCACUGCAGAUGGUCCAUAGGCAUUUAGCCACUUUUAAACAUUUGAUCCAUGUUUCUAAUACACAUGGUCUAACCUGCCAAUGUAUUCUUUUCAACAUCUAUUUGCUGAAUUUUGUGGA